CCACAGUCCUUCUUAUGUUCCUGAUCUGAUUCUUCACAUGCCAGCAACUAAGUACCAGCUCCAGUCCUACAAUGAAUACAGCCACCAUGCACCCAAAAUCUUGCUAUGCGCAGAAAUAAAUGCAACUUUCAAACAAAGCCAAGAAUUUAUUGCCAGUAUAAUUUAAAUCUUAACUAUCUAAUCAAUGAAUUAUUUUUAGUCACAAUCUAAUUAUUGCAGGGAAAAACAAACAAACAAAAAACAUCACAGAAAGGUGUAGCAUUAUAAAAAGUACUUCAGUAACAAUAAAGGUAUAAUUGCUUUUCACUCACUUCCUGAUACCCCCACCUUUUUUCCACUUUUAUGCAUCACCUUCCACUUUUUCCCAAACUACAAAGCUUCUGUGCAUCAAUGUUGCAGGUCAUUGGCAUACCAGCUCAUUUGCCAAGAGGAGUAUGAUACUGCCUUGCUCCACACAUGGGGCUAUUGCUAUAUAUCUUCCAUCACACCGUACGCUUUGCUCCCUGUUCACAGGAUGACACUUCUUUCACUAUUGCCAUUCUCAUUGGGAUCAUCGGUUUCAGCAGCACCUUUAGAGAGCUUACUAGCAAGCUGCCUAACUUGGGACAUUGCUCUGAGCUUGAUUAAAUUCAGCUGGCAUUAGAAAACUUUAUCCCAGAUGUUUAUUUGACAAAUGCUUAAC
rnacentral:lncRNA from 1 species